GCGUUAAGGGCUUCGCAGGCGGUUUUUUAAGUCUGAAUGUGAAAGCCCCCGGCUUCAACCGGGGAGGGUCAUUGGAAACUGGGAAACUUGAGUGCAGAAGAGGAGAGUGGAAUUCCACGUGUAGCGGUGAAAUGCGUAGAGAUGUGGAGGAACACCAGUGGCGAAGGCGACUCUCUGGUCUGUAACUGACGCUGAGGAGCGAAAGCGUGGGGAGCGAACAGGAUUAGAUACCCUGGUAGUCCACGCCGUAAACGAUGAGUGCUAAGUGUUAGGGGGUUUCCGCCCCUUAGUGCUGCAGCUAACGCAUUAAGCACUCCGCCUGGGGAGUACGGUCGCAAGACUGAAACUCAAAGGAAUUGACGGGGGCCCGCACAAGCGGUGGAGCAUGUGGUUUAAUUCGAAGCAACGCGAAGAACCUUACCAGGUCUUGACAUCCUCUGACAACCCUAGAGAUAGGGCUUUCCCUUCGGGGACAGAGUGACAGGUGGUGCAUGGUUGUCGUCAGCUCGUGUCGUGAGAUGUUGGGUUAAGUCCCGCAACGAGCGCAACCCUUGAUCUUAGUUGCCAGCAUUCAGUUGGGCACUCUAAGGUGACUGCCGGUGACAAACCGGAGGAAGGUGGGGAUGACGUCAAAUCAUCAUGCCCCUUAUGACCUGGGCUACACACGUGCUACAAUGGACAGAACAAAGGGCU
rnacentral:rRNA from 1 species